UACGUAGGGUGCAAGCGUUAAUCGGAAUUACUGGGCGUAAAGCGUGCGCAGGCGGUUAUAUAAGACAGUUGUGAAAUCCCCGGGCUUAACCUGGGAACUGCAUCUGUGACUGUAUAGCUAGAGUACGGUAGAGGGGGAUGGAAUUCCGCGUGUAGCAGUGAAAUGCGUAGAUAUGCGGAGGAACACCGAUGGCGAAGGCAAUCCCCUGGCCCGGUACUGACGCUGAUGUGCGACAGCGUGGGGAGCAAACAGG
rnacentral:rRNA from 1 species